UUUAUGGAGAGUUUGAUCCUGGCUCAGGAUGAACGCUGGCGGCGUGCCUAAUACAUGCAAGUCGAGCGAACGGACGAGAAGCUUGCUUCUCUGAUGUUAGCGGCGGACGGGUGAGUAACACGUGGAUAACCUACCUAUAAGACUGGGAUAACUUCGGGAAACCGAAGCUAAUACCGGAU
rnacentral:rRNA from 1 species